CCUACGGGAGGCAGCAGUGGGUAAUAUUGGGCAAUGGGCGCAAGCCUGACCCAGCAACGCCGCGUGAAGGAAGAAGGCUUUCGGGUUGUAAACUUCUUUUCUCAGGGACGAAGCAAGUGACGGUACCUGAGGAAUAAGCCACGGCUAACUACGUGCCAGCAGCCGCGGUAAUACGUAGGUGGCAAGCGUUAUCCGGAUUUACUGGGUGUAAAGGGCGUGUAGGCGGGAAAGCAAGUCAGAUGUGAAAACCACGGGCUCAACCUGUGGCCUGCAUUUGAAACUGUUUUUCUUGAGUACUGGGGAGGCAGACGGAAUUCCUAGUGUAGCGGUGAAAUGCGUAGAUAUUAGGAGGAACACCAGUGGCGAAGGCGGUCUGCUGGACAGCAACUGACGCUGAGGCGCGAAAGCGUGGGGAGCAAACAGGAUUAGAUACCCCUGUAGUC
rnacentral:rRNA from 1 species